rnacentral:tmRNA from 1 species
GGGGAUGAACGGUUUCGACGGGGCAGGCUGUCUGUCGACUGCAGGCCGUAGAGCGUCGACUACGUUAAAAAGGCGCAAACCCUAUAAAUGCCAACAACACUGGCAAGCUCUUCAACUUUGGUUUCGCCAACGCUGCUCCUGUAGCGGUGGCCGCCUAAGUAAGGGCACGGGUCCUCGCGUAGGACCCCGGCCCGUUCCGGUGGUGCUCUCAGGCCGGGCGGUGUCCGUCAUAUACUGGUGAGCUGCGAUGGCCGGAUGCCGAUAGGGCCAUCUAAGACCGUCGGCUAGCCGGACAGCGAAUCCUGUCGCUUGGAGUCCGUCCGGUGAAACCUGAAUAAAGCGGCUAUGUCUGUAGAUGUCGGCGGACGAGUGUUUCGGACGCGGGUUCGAGUCCCGCCAUCUCCACCU